GCUUAUCGCAAUGUUGCUCCCUUCAUUUCAUGUGACUUUGGCCAAGUGACUGAAAACAAAGUGGGAGAAAAAAAGAGAAAAAAUGAAUCAUGAAGACGACACUGAUCCUUGGUUUUCUCAAAGGCCAGAAACGCCCCCUUGGGAUGUAGCAGAGUACAAUCAACUCAUUUCUGCAGGGCCGUUACUGUCACUACUAGAGCAGUACGCAAACAUCGUUUCUUAUGAUCUAACCACACACACACACACAUGGAUACCAUGGCAAGUGCAAGCACAUGGCGC